UAGGUAGGUGGUCUCAUUUGUCGGGGGUGAAAGCCUUGGGCUUAACUCAAGAAGUGCCCCCGAAACGGUGAGACUCGAGUUCUGGAGAGGUGAGUGGAAUUCCCGGUGUAGCGGUGAAAUGCGUAGAGAUCGGGAGGAACACCAGAGGCGAAGGCGGCUCACUGGACAGAGACUGACACUCAACUACGAAAGCGUGGGGAGCAAACAGGAUUAGAUACCCUGGUAGUCCACGCUGUAAACGAUGGACACUAGGCUUGGUGGGUCUUGACCCCUGCCGAGCCGUAGCUAACGCGAUAAGUGUCCCGCUGGGAAGUACGGUCGCAAGACUAAA
rnacentral:rRNA from 1 species